AUGAAUUGGUGUAAGUUCAUUGCCGACUUCCUGCAUGAUGCAUUCGCAAGCAAGGUGUACCAGAAGGGUUGUCGACUGCAUUUAAUGCUCAUGUACGUCGACUACCUUGAUCUGUCCACCGUGGAUUUCACUGGGACAGGAGGCCUGCCGCCUACGCACAAGUUUGUUGUUUCUGCAUGGACUAUCGAUGUUGUCAAGGCUGUGCUUGCUGCAGACAGGCUGAUGGCCAAGCAUGCUAUAGACUACAGCGUGUUUGGGGGGCCUCAAAACUUUGGGAAGUGGAUGGACGUGCACUCAGCUCCGUCUUGCCCUGCCGAGGCGAGGGCACCUGUUGAGCAGCUAAUAGGGCAGUUUGCAUCUGGAAUGACCGGCUUGCUCGGGAAGUUGGUUGAGGGAUGGACGUCCCUCAGUGGCUCUGACAGCGAUGCGGUUGCGAGGAAAUUCACUUCAUUUGUCCCAGAACGUACACACCGGCCAACCGGUUGCCGUGGCCGGGUGAAGAAGACUACUACGCGUGGGUCCAAGCAUAUCAGUAAGGACCCGCUCGAACGCCUGCAUUCAAAGUUGUCAACAGGGGGCAACUCAGAUGUACACGAGGCACCAGGCGACAAUACUGCUGCUGCACCGUUGAUCACUCCCACCAACUCUGAUGCAAGUGGCCGACCAUCUCCGCCGGCUGCAGAUGUGCAGGCUAGAACAACAGGCAUCCGUACAUCGGGGAGUGACGAGUCGGUAUCUGCCAGGACAGCUGAAAUACUGCCAACUCUUCUGGCAAUGAAGGAUGCUACUGUGAGCCAUGCCACCCCAUCAGCAAGCGUUGAAGUGGACGCUCCCGAGAUGAACCUAGGCAAGGAAGAUUCCCGCUCAUCUGACACUGAAUCCAAGCGCGUGCGUGGUGGCACUCCUGUGUCCACGACAGAAGUGGUCGAGGCGGCAGUUCACAAGGACAUGCCAUCUACAGGUGAGAGUCCUGGCACAACAGCUCCAGCUCCUGACGGUGCAGAUACUGCUAAGGCGACUGUUUCGCGUGCUGGUCUACCACCUAGGUGUCGUAGCCCCCGCAAGCAACCAACAGACAUACCAAACGCACCGGCUGUAGCCAGGAGCAGGAGAGAUGAGUCUGGUUUUGUUCCUACGUCCACACUGUUCCCGCCACCUGCCAAAAGCAAUGUGAUGGAGAAACCGGAAGACCGGAGCACAACUGAUGCAGUUGUCAAGCCGGGCACGAGCGACGCAGGUGAACACCCGGAGCAGACUGCGCCUUUACCCGCAGUGGAAAUCCCAGCAUAA
rnacentral:rRNA from 1 species